rnacentral:lncRNA from 1 species
UUGGAGGAGCAAACAUGAACUGCUACCUAGGCUUCUUGUUUCAAAUCUGUCUGGCCCUGGCAUAUGGUGGAGGGUCAGGAAGCGUGGAGGCAGGACCAGCGACUGCAGCCAUGAUGAAGGCCGGUGUAAUGAAGGGUGGAAUGGCUGCCAAGACAGGGAUGGUAAAUGGCCUGGUGAUAGAUGGGCAGCUUUCACGGCUGUUACCGGCUGGCACACUGCUGGUCCAACAACCUGGCAACCCUGUUGAUCAAGGAGGCAUGGCAGUAGUCCCUGCUGGGGCUCUACAGCCAGGCAUGACAGUGGUGUUUGCUGUUCCACCGGAGCAACAGGGCCAGCCACAGAUUCCACAGACUGUCGACAGGACCAUGUCUGUGUUAGCAGUGCUUCCUCAGAACAACCAGAUGGGCAUGCAGCAACUACAGCUGGUGUCUAUACCAGGCCCCAAUAACCUUCAGCCUGGGAUGGGGACAGGUCAGACAGCUGGAGCCGCAGCCAGGGUCCGAGUUAAGCACUCUGCCCCUGCUAUGCUUGGUGCGAAUGCUAUGCCAACCACUACAAUGCUCCCAAAGAUGCAGGGAAACCCAACUAUGUCUCCCAUGUCACUGGCUGAUAUCAUGAAGCUGUCUGUGGUUCCACAAAAAGACAAGCAAACCUAUGAAGACUGCACGGAGGACAAUAGUGGGGGACAGAGCACAGCUGUACCAGAGUUAGUGGAAACCACAGGAAAGGAGAAGAUGACAACUGUACAGAAGCCCAUCUGAGAUUGUCAUCACAGCAUCUGACAUCAUUCUCUGAUAUCAAUAUAUGUCAUUAUAGCAAAUAAAGCUUCAGUAUAUGUAGAAGGAACA